rnacentral:rRNA from 1 species
AUUGAACGCUGGCGGCAGGCUUAACACAUGCAAGUCGAGUGAGCGGCGGACGGGUGAGUAAUGUCUGGGGAACUGCCUGAUAGAGGGGGAUAACUACUGGAAACGGUAGCUAAUACCGCAUACUAUCAGAUGAGCCCAGAUGGGAUUAGCUAGUAGGUGGGGUAAUGGCUCACCUAGGCGACGAUCCCUAGCUGGUCUGAGAGGAUGACCAGCCACACUGGAACUGAGACACGGUCCAGACUCCUACGGGAGGCAGCAGUGGGGAAUAUUGCACAAUGGGCGCAAGCCUGAUGCAGCCAUGCCGCGUGUGUGAAGAAGGCCUUAGGGUUGUAAAGCACUUUCAGCGAGGAGGCGUUACUCGCAGAAGAAGCACCGGCUAACUCCGUGCCAGCAGCCGCGGUAAUUC